rnacentral:misc_RNA from 1 species
AACGCACAUUGCGCCCCCUGGCAUUCCGGGGGGCACACCUGUUCGAGCGCCGUUUAACACCUAAGGCUCAGCCUUGCGUUGACCGUUCCCGGCGGGGAGCGGUCGAAAAACAUGAAGACUCCAAAGAUGGAAGCAGUACGCAAAAGUAUCUGUCGACCAGCCCUUGGGUCUUGAUAUCCUGACGUAUGGCCUCGGAUCAGGUGGGGAUACCCGCUGAACUUAA